AAUAAAGCGUUAACUAGUCCAGCACAACUUGUACCCGAGACUUCCUGCUGCUCACAGUCACGCAAGCACGCACAUUAUCAGGCUGCGGCUGCUUCAGUGUCCGCUGUAGGCUGUAAAGGAGCGGUGCCCCACCACAGCCUCUCGGAAUGCGACUCUGCUGUGUACGGUGUACCCAACCCUCCAGCACCAGCCUGGCGGCCUCCACCCCGUCAAGAUCCUGCAGCCUCUGAGCUUCCAGGCAGAGCAGCCAUCUUCAGUCACUACGUGAAAAGAACAUUCAGGAACUUUUCUUAUUCGAAGACAGCAAGUGAUGUCCUGAAUAGAACAGGGACAUGUGAAGCAGCACAUUUCAGCGCCCACUUCUUAGGGUCUGUCAGACCUCCAUUACCAUCUCGGCGGUCUCCAAUCCUAGGCUUCUGCAAAACGGCAAAGUUACGGAAGUAAGAGCUGCUUCUGCGGGUUAAGUGAAAGAAACCACGGUGGACCUGGGGGGACAAAUCAUAGAUGCAUAGCAUUUUUUGUUGUACUCAUUUUUUUAAUUUUAUAUUUUUAUUUAUAUUGGGAUAUUAUACAAUUUUCAAAGCUAACAACAGAUUCUUUUUAGUAUGUGUAUUUGAAGCAGAACAAAAGUAUUUCACAAAAGAAGUCCAUAUUACAGUACUAUUGAAAUAUGAGGCAUAGGAUAAUUAUGCAUUUGUGGGUUAUAAACAUAAUACAUUCAUUUUAAAGAAAAAACAUUAAUAGGAAUAACAUUUUGGUUAAAAUAAAUAUGUAAAUGUUAACAGCAACACCUGCAGGAUCGUGACACAAGAACGCUGUUUCGCGACAGACACCAUGUAGAUGGGCAGCAACCAGGAAGCAACUGUCACGUCUCACUGAAUUCACAAUCACUGCGUGUUGCUGAGCGCUUACUUCCACAGGGACACCCUCCGCCAACAUUCCCAAACCUCGGCGUACAAACCAGCCGCCCCUCCCCGCGGUGCCCUGGGGAGCCGGACCAAAGUCUGAAUAAAGUUUAGAAUCAGAUGUCCCUUACAUUUUACUGUUCUUCAAAUCAACUCAAAUGUCUUACUUAAUCAAUACAAGAUUUACUUAUAAACAGAAAUAUAAAGAGAACAUUUUAUAGGUGAUUAUAAAAAUUAAAACUUCUAAUCAUCUUCAUAAUUCAUUGAAAUGAUCCUGUUCAAAAUUAAAAUUUGUCUUUUGCACAGCAGUUUCUUCAAGAAAAAUAUAAACACUUAGAUUAAAAAAAGAUUAUCCCAAACAAAAAGUUUCCACAUGUAGAAAAUAACCAUGGAUUUCCCUGAUCAUUAAAUUCUUCCCAGCUGUUUCUUCCUAGCAGACAGAUUCACCUAAAAGAAACAUUUAAAUCUUUGCUUAAAU
rnacentral:lncRNA from 1 species